rnacentral:tRNA from 2 species
GAGAUUAGCUCAGUUGGUUAGAGCAUCUGCCUUACAAGCAGGGGGUCAUAGGUUCGAGUCCUAUAUCUCC